GGGCCCGUAGCUCAGUUGGUUAGAGCGCUUGCAUGGCAUGCAAGAGGUCGCUGGUUCGACCCCAGUCGGGUCCACCA
rnacentral:tRNA from 1 species